rnacentral:lncRNA from 1 species
CUAUAGUAAGGGAUUUUAACAGGGACAAGCUGAUAGCAAGAGAUCCUACAAACCAACAUUCCACACAGAACUCUCAGGAGCUGGGGAACUAAACACACAGGCAGUUUCUGAGGGCAGUUGGUGAACUCCUCUGGAAGAGAGAGAGAGGCUGCUGCUUUUUUCUCUAGUAUCCAGAAGAGCCAAGAAAGUUUCUGUCUGGUAUUUCUGGGGUGGACCCAGAGAGCCAAUGAUUCCCUCUUCUUUGGCUUUCUUGAUAUUCUGCCUGUCCUCGCUGCUAUUGGUGCUGCUGCUGUCAAGUGGAAGAGCCAUUACUGGGACUACUGCUUGACUCAAAGAAGACUCCUGGUUGCCAAGUUGCUGAUGAAGCCAUGAUUCUCCCCACUGACACAGGUCUGAGUAAAAUUACAAAACCAGCCCUCCAAAGCAAGACUGUCUUGUUGUGAAUCUUCAGAAUGCCGAAGAUCAAUGGUCCUACCACUUCUCUGAAUUCCUGGAACACACAACUCAGCAGAACCACACAGUGCCUUUUCAUACUCUCAUAUUGUUUGACAUGUUUGUUUUAUCUUCUCAGCUAAAUUAUAAACCAUAGGAGGGCAGGAAUCUAGUUUUCAUCUUCAUUUUUUCCAUAACCCAAGAUUAUAAAUAAGUCGAUAAAGUUGAGAGCUGAAAGAACCUGAG